rnacentral:rRNA from 1 species
GACGAACGCUGGCGGCGUGCUUAACACAUGCAAGUCGAACGGUGAAGCUCCAGCUUGCUGGAGUGGAUCAGUGGCGAACGGGUGAGUAACACGUGAGCAACCUGCCCCAGACUCUGGAAUAAGCGCUGGAAACGGCGUCUAAUACUGGAUACGAGAUCAAGCCGCAUGGUUAUGGUCUGGAAAGUUUUUCGGUUUGGGAUGGGCUCGCGGCCUAUCAGCUUGUUGGUGUGGUAAUGGCUUACCAAGGCGACGACGGGUAGCCGGCCUGAGAGGGCGACCGGCCACACUGGGACUGAGACACGGCCCAGACUCCUACGGGAGGCAGCAGUGGGGAAUAUUGCACAAUGGGCGAAAGCCUGAUGCAGCGACGCCGCGUGAGGGAUGACGGCCUUCGGGUUGUAAACCGCUUUCAGCAGGGAAGAAGCGAAAGUGACGGUACCUGCAGAAGAAGCACCGGCUAACUACGUG